UUUUUUAUAAAAUUUGCAAGUACUAUCAAGUCGGUUGCCAUGGAAACCGUAACACAACGCAUUGCUUUGUCUCAUGGGCUCCACCCUGAAUUUUUGGAACUGAAACCAGUUUCAUCCCUAGGAUUCUAGUACUUUCAGAGUUUUAAUUUUUUGAAAGUUUUCACGCGUUUUCUAGUAUGUCAGUGCGGGCAACUGCACCGACAGUUAAAAGUCAAAAACAAAAUAAAAGAAUGAAUCGGCCAUCAUUGAUAAAAAUUUCAGACGUGGAUCCUUUCCCUUUGCUGGCCAAGCAACGAGAAAAGCGCCGGUGUAUUCCGGAUGAAAUCGAGGCUGCAAUUAGUUUCGACUAGGACAACUGUUUAGUGAACGUUUGUGCCUUUUUUGUUGUUGUUGCUGUGAUGAUAUUCGAGUUUGGUUUUGACAGUUGAUAUUGGAAAAUACAAGUCAUGGGAAAUGUU